CUGUCUCAUCCUCUCUCGAAAGUAAUGCCAGUCAGGAAUAUCGGCUCUGGGUACUGCCGGGCUGUGGCUGAUGCUCAGAGCUCCAGGAGGUUCCUUCUGGGGCUGGAUGUUGUGAUUUGCUUCACUGAGACUGUGCCUUUGGGAAAGGGAAAGAAUCAGGGAAUCCCAGAAUGGUUUGGGGUUGGAAGGGAUCUUACAGCUCAUCCCAUCCCAGCCCUGCCAUGGCAGGGACACCUCCCACUGUCCCAGGCUGCUCCCAGCCCCAUCGAGCCUGGCCUUGGACACCUCCAGGGAUGUUGAAGAUGUGAAAGAACUCCAUUAACUGCUACCAAUCGCAGGGAAAAGCAGCAAAAGAUGGAGGCAGUGAGGACUGGGAUAGCACAGCUGGAAAGAGUCACCUGGAGGACAUUGCUGGGGGUUUUUAUGGAAUCAUGGAAUGGUUUGUGUUGGAAGGGACCUUAAAUCCCACCCAGUGCCACCCCCAGGGACACCUCCCACUGUGCCAGGCUGCUCCCAGCCCCAAUGUCCAGCCUGGCCUUGGGCACUGCCAGGGAUCCAGGGGCAGCCCCAGCUGCUCUGGCAAUUCCAUGCCAGCCCCUGCCCACCCUGCCAGGGAACAAUUCCUGCCCAAGAUCCCAUCCAGUCCUGCCCCGGUGGGACAAACCCAGAGCACAAGGAGCCGGCGGAGCUCAGGAGCAGCAGCGCCGGGGUUGGAGCCGAUCACACGCCGAGCCGCUUCCAGCAAUUUGGCAAAGAGUUCUCCUCCCCCGAAAUCCGGGAGGAAAAGCGAUGUGGCACCGAGGGAGAGGGGCAAAGCUGUCACCAGCGGCUUCCAGGUCACCCCAGGAAGGAUCCUGGGCACCUCUGCAGUGGGGUCAGGGGGCAGGAGCUCGGGGCAUCCCUGCCAGGGGAGAACCAACACUCGGCUCUCCUCAAUUCCCAGCUGUUUCCACCAGAAGCAACAAAAUGAAGCUUGUAAAUCCUCCAGCCCUUAAAUCCCGCAAAUCCAGGCUGCAGCCUUGCAGGAGCAGCGACUGCAGUGGCACCAAGGUCCGUCCUCCCGUGCCCAGGAGGGCACAGCCCGGAGAUUUCCCUCCGCAGAGCCCCGGUGAGGAUGUCAGGGCACAAAGGGAUAUUUGUUGACAGAAACGCACAGGGAUCAAUCUGCAUUCGUGCCCCACCCCACUGCGUUGGUCUCCAAAUGCUUCUGCAGGGCUGGAAGGAGAUGAGCUUUAAAGUCCCUUCUAACCCAAACCAGUUUGUGACUCCGUGACUCCGUGAUUCUCUGAUUUAGUGGCAUUGCUUUGGACUGGGAAAUGUCCCUGCCACGGAGCUGCUCUAGGGCUGGAGCCCCUCUGGAGCCAGGCUGGGAGAGCUGGGGGUGCUCAGCUGGAGAGGAGAAGGCUCCAGGGAGAGCUGCGAGCCCCUUGCAGGGCCUGAAGGGGCUCCAGGAGAGCUGCAGAGGGACUUUUAACACCGGCAGAUCAUGAUAGGUAAAGGAGGAACAGUUUCAAACUAAAAGAGGAGAGAUUUAAAUUGGAUAUUAGGGAGAAAAAUCUUCCUGGCACAGGGUGCCCAGAGCAGCUGUGGCUGCCCCUGGAUCCCUGGCAGUGCCCAAGGCCAGGCUGGACAUUGGGGCUGGAGCAGCCUGGGGCAGUGGGAGGUGUCCCUGCCAUGGCAGGGGUGGCACUGGGUGGGAUUUAAGUUCCCUCCAACGCAAACCCGUCUGUGACUCUCUGAUUCUGUGACCCCGUGAGUGAUUCCAUGAUUUUUUCAUUCUAUUUUUCUCUGAUUCAGAGGCUGGGAUGGGACUGGAGCCCUGCGCAGCGACGACCCCACACGUUCAGUGAAGGGUUCAGUGCCUUCCCACCCCUCCAUGGCGAGCCACAGCACAGCGAGGGGUGUCCAGCGUGGCUUUGGGUGCCACAAAUACCAGUUUGUCACCGGGCUGGGUCCCUCUGUGGCAGUGGCCACUGCUCCAGGCUCUUGAACCCCUUUAAUGGGGUGCAGAGUGCCCUUAACGGGGCUCGGGGGGGAUGCUGG
ensembl:lncRNA